rnacentral:rRNA from 1 species
CAGUAGCCACGGUAAUACAGAGGGUGCGAGCGUUAAUCGGAUUUACUGGGCGUAAAGCGUGCGUAGGCGGCUUCUUAAGUCGGAUGUGAAAUCCCUGAGCUUAACUUAGGAAUUGCAUUCGAUACUGGGAAGCUAGAGUAUGGGAGAGGAUGGUAGAAUUCCAGGUGUAGCGGUGAAAUGCGUAGAGAUCUGGAGGAAUACCGAUGGCGAAGGCAGCCAUCUGGCCUAAUACUGACGCUGAGGUACGAAAGCAUGGGGAGCAAACAGGAUUAGAUACCCGCGUAGUCCAUGUCUCUUAUAC